rnacentral:lncRNA from 1 species
UGUCUGCUCCACAUCCAGCUUAAUCGCCAUCAAGCUCUAACAAAUGGGGAUGCGCCACAAGUCAUAUAUAAACUCCUAAGUGAGUAGGAUGUUGUCGAUGAUGCAACAGUCAUUGAGGAAAGCACCGUAUUCCUGGUUGAUCAGUCACAAGAUAAUCAAUUGUAGAUAUCCGACCAAGACCCUCGCACACACUUUGUAAAGAGUGGUGCAAAGGCUGAUCGGUUUGAAGUACCUUGGAGUCAAUGCAUCAGAUCUCUUCAGGAUAAGGAUGAUCAGAGUCCUCUUCCACUGCUUCAGGAUUUCUCUAGCAACAAACACUAUCUGUACUACCUCAAUCACCUCACCAUCAACAAUUGGCCAGCAUCUACGGAAGAAGAGGGGAGGAAAGCCAUCCGACC